rnacentral:lncRNA from 1 species
CCUAACGAAGACACUAAGGGAUGCUAUAAAGCAUUUUAUGGAGCAUCGGAAAGAACCCGAGCUAUAUAAAGAUCAACUUAUUAAUGGUAUGAUCGACCAUACUUCCACGCAUUAGAAUACGUCGAAUAGACGGUAAUCUUCCAUCAAAAUAACCGGUAGUAUGAUCGACCUUGCCUAAUCUACGCAAUAAAAUACGUCGAAUCUCUUGGAUCCCAAAUACGAAACCAGACAUUAGCUGAAAAAGCUUCAAUAAGCUGGCACAAACAAAAGCCCACCUUGAAGGGGGCCAAGCCCACUUCCUCUGGGCACCCACACAGAAACGGUGCUCAACCCCGACUCUCGCCCGCGGCAAUCCACCUUAACCUCAUCAGCUUCACACCAAACACCGUCACUUGUGCCGGAUAGGCGCCUCACAGUCCCAAGCCAAAGACCGAUCACUGCGUGGCCAUGACACACAGCCGUCACUCUCCGGGGAGGUUCCGUCUGCACAAAGCCGGGUGGAUCUGCACCCCACCCUUUAAGCCGCGCUCUCAGUGGCCGCUCUAUGCCGCCACUGCUCGCCGCCCCUUCGAUCCUCCUAGGAGUCGAAUCGACAACCCACACACUUUCCAAUCUGUCGCACCAAAUUGCGCACCGCCG